rnacentral:rRNA from 1 species
CCUACGGGCGGCAGCAGUGAGGAAUAUUGGUCAAUGGACGAGAGUCUGAACCAGCCAAGUAGCGUGAAGGAUGACUGCCCUAUGGGUUGUAAACUUCUUUUAUAUGGGAAUAAAAUGUUCCACGUGUGGGAUUUUGUAUGUACCAUAUGAAUAAGGCUCGGCUAACUCCGUGCCAGCAGCCGCGGUAAUACGGAGGAUCCGAGCGUUAUCCGGAUUUAUUGGGUUUAAAGGGAGCGUAGGUGGAUUGUUAAGUCAGUUGUGAAAGUUUGGGGCUCAACCGUAAAAUUGCAGUUGAAACUGGCAGUCUUGAGUACAGUAGAGGUGGGCGGAAUUCGUGGUGUAGCGGUGAAAUGCUUAGAUAUCACGAAGAACUCCGAUUGCGAAGGCAGUUCACUGGACUGCAACUGACACUGAGGCUCGAAAGUGUGGGUAUCAAACAGGAUUAGAUACCCGUGUAGUC